CAAUUAUUUGAAAAUUUGGA
rnacentral:snRNA from 1 species